CUUUACAUAAUGAACUGAUACUUUCUUCAAAGAUUUUUCACAGCAGUGGGAGUAUUUUUCCUGUGAAGUUCAAGGUUUCAUCUUUCAGAUUAUGUAAUAAAAUUCUACUGUUCGCGAUAAAAAUUUCACUGUUCUGGGGUGUUGAAAUUAGUGGGGGUUAUUAAAAGAAUGAUACUUAAAGAAGUGAUUUUUGGGAAGGAAAUUGAGGUCUGAUACUUAAACAAGUGAUUUUUAUGUCAUUAUCCUAGAUUCAGUACAAGGUCAUCACCUGAAAUGACCUGGUCAUCCUAGACAACACAGAUGUUGGUUCUGAUAAGUUUAGAAA
rnacentral:lncRNA from 1 species